UACAGAGGUCUCAAGCGUUGUUCGGAUUCAUUGGGCGUAAAGGGUGCGUAGGCGGCGCGGUAAGUCGGGUGUGAAAUUUCGAGGCUUAACUUCGAAACUGCAUUCGAUACUGCCGUGCUUGAGGACUGGAGAGGAGACUGGAAUUUACGGUGUAGCGGUGAAAUGCGUAGAUAUCGUAAGGAAGACCAGUGGCGAAGGCGGGUCUCUGGGCCGACAUUGACGCUGAGGAGCGAAAGCGUGGGGAGCGAACAGG
rnacentral:rRNA from 1 species